rnacentral:rRNA from 1 species
UACGUAGGUGGCAAGCGUUAUCCGGAAUUACUGGGCGUAAAGCGCACGCAGGCGGUUGGAUAAGAUUGACGUGAAAGCUUCUGGCUUAACCGGAAGAAGUCGUUGAUGACUGUCCGACUUGAGACGAGGAGAGGGGUGCAGAAUUCCCGGUGUAGUGGUGGAAUGCGUAGAGAUCGGGAGGAAUACCAGUGGCGAAAGCGGCACCCUGGCCUUAGUCUGACGCUCAGGUGCGAAAGCGUGGGGAGCGAACGGG